GAUGAACGCUGGCGGCGUGCCUAAUACAUGCAAGUCGAGCGAACGGACGAGAAGCUUGCUUCUCUGAUGUUAGCGGCGGACGGGUGAGUAACACGUGGAUAACCUACCUAUAAGACUAGGAUAACUUCGGGAAACCGGAGCUAAUACCGGAUGAUAUUUUGAACCGCAUGGUUCAAAAGUGAAAGACGGUCUUGCUGUCACUUAUAGAUGGAUCCGCGCUGCAUUAGCUAGUUGGUAAGGUAACGGCUUACCAAGGCAACGAUGCAUAGCCGACCUGAGAGGGUGAUCGGCCACACUGGAACUGAGACACGGUCCAGACUCCUACGGGAGGCAGCAGUAGGGAAUCUUCCGCAAUGGGCGAAAGCCUGACGGGGCAACGCCGCGUGAGUGAUGAAGGUCUUCGGAUCGUAAAACUCUGUUAUUAGGGAAGAACAUAUGUGUAAGUAACUGUGCACAUCUUGACGGUACCUAAUCAGAAAGCCACGGCUAACUACGUG
rnacentral:rRNA from 1 species